UCCACGGUAGCUCAACGGUAGAGCACCUGGCUGUUAACCAGGGGGCUGUGGGUUCGAAUCCCACCCGUGGAG
rnacentral:tRNA from 1 species